rnacentral:rRNA from 1 species
UACGUAGGGGGCGAGCGUUGUCCGGAUUUAUUGGGCGUAAAGCGCGCGCAGGCGGUUCGUUCAGUCCGUUGUGAAAGCUCCCGGCUCAACUGGGAGAGGUCUUCGGAUACUGGCGGACUCGAGGGAGGCAGAGGAAGGUGGAAUUCCGGGUGUAGUGGUGAAAUGCGUAGAGAUCCGGAGGAACACCAGUGGCGAAGGCGGCCUUCUGGGCCUUUCCUGACGCUGAGGCGCGAAAGCGUGGGGAGCGAACCGG